UAUUAUGAGAGUUUGAUCCUGGCUCAGGACGAACGCUGGCGGCGUGCCUAAUACAUGCAAGUCGAACGCUUCUUUCCUCCCGAGUGUUUGCACUCAAUUGGAAAGAGGAGUGGCGGACGGGUGAGUAACACGUGGGUAACCUACCCAUCAGAGGGGGAUAACACUUGGAAACAGGUGCUAAUACCGCAUAACAGUUUAUGC
rnacentral:rRNA from 1 species